rnacentral:lncRNA from 1 species
AGGCACAUAAUUCAGUUUCUCCAGAUGCAGCAGGAAUCUGGCUCCCAGACACCAGCUCUUUCUUCAGGUCCACAUGUGGAUGUCUGAGAGCCUGAGAACCUACACCUGGAUGAUCAAAACCAAAGGCAGGGAGGCUUCCCUCACAUGCUACCCAGACACAGCAGGUAAGGGUGGCAGGUGACUCUGCCAUGGCCUUAGCACAGACUGUCAUUGCCGUCCUGCCUGCAGAAGCAGCCCAGUCUCUGACCCUGCCAAAACUCCACUGUGACUGUCUUCCAAUUUGCCAGUGGUUCCAAGUCGGGGAAUCUCAUAGUCCUUUGCAGGCCAAGCAGCAGCAGCAGAUGCCAUAGUCGGGGCAGUGCACUUCAAGGUCAGCCCUGGAGAGAGACAGACGGGUUUAUUCUAGCUUUAGGUAUCUGAACCAGUGAAGUCUAAUGCAAAAUAAAUGCAUGUCUGGUUUUACUCUC